UCUUUGGUAGCGGAACCGCCAUCAUCACAAGACAGGGCAACACCCAUCUCCAUCAGAUCAGAGAAGAUGACCAGGUCAGAAGGGUAUUGGCGACAGGGGCUGAUUGAGAUGGAGAUGAAAAGAGGCAAGGUUGAAGAAGAUCACCAAGUCAAAGCAGAUGAAGCACCUUAAGGUCGUGCCAAAUGAGAUCUUUGCAAAGAAGAAGAAUUAGAACAUUUAAACACCACAAUUUCAUCAAGGAAUGCAAGUGAGACUCAAACAUAUGAGAUGGAGAAGGGGCCUGGCAGCACAUGUGCUAUCCUCAUACAGUUGUAGGAAAUCAAGCAAAGGGCAGCUAGUGGUUGAACUAAAAAUCAGGUUGGCCUGCUUAUCAGAGGGGAUGCGAGAAGGAGAAAGACAAUGAUUGGCACAUGAUUGCACACAUCUCAUACAUUCAGAUUGGAUGGCCACCAGAUUAUAAGUACCACUUCUUGCUCAACCUUAUCUUUGCUUUAUAAUAUAUGAUUUUACCAAAUACUACCUUUAGUAACUAUUAAGUACUGUUUAGUGCUUUUGGGUUCAACAUGGCAUUC